CCGGCGUGCUAGGCAUAUCCU
rnacentral:miRNA from 1 species